ensembl:lncRNA
CCCCAGUGCCCACGGCCUCCCGCUGCCAUCUGCAUGACAAAGCCCACUGCUCCGCGCCUUUUGGGGAUUGCCCGCACCACAAACCUUAUGGGCUUCAUCAAUAGCUCGGAUGAUUUUAGGGUCUAGGUUUUUAUUCACUACAGCGUUGGCUGACAAAGCCCAUUACAUCAUCUGUUUGGAAGAGAAAUUCUCUGCAGCUGCUUGUGUGGCACAGGGGGGUUUGCUGGAAAAAAUAAGGCAGAUUUUUUUUUUCCGUUUGGUUUUGUUUCAUUCUUUCAGGGCAAUUUUCCUUCAAAUUGCUGGAAAACUGCACGUUAAAAAGGCUUCCAAAGUGGAAAGGAAAAGGGCAGAGCGCAGCAGCUUUAAGCAUUCUUUUUUUUUUUUGCUUUUUUUCAUUUCCCUUCCAAAAAGCCGGGGGGAGGGCAGCCCCCGCUCAGGGCCGUGUGUGGGGCUGGGGUGUGGGGACAGCGGGGUGCCCCGUCCUGUCCCAUUGCUGCUGGGAAGUCCUCCUGGCUCAGCACCGGUGUGAGCAGAGGAAUCCCUCCUGAGCUCAAAAGAGGCUGAAGUUGUAGCUUGGGUUGCUGUUGGAAUGGCUGCUAAGCUCGAAAGAAAGGUUUAUAAUUCAUAGGGUAACACAGCGCACGGCGCUAUGGAAAACAGCUCUUCACUCACUGCAAUUAAGAGUGAGAAAACCCCAUAACUGCAGAUAAAAAUCCGUUAUUAUAGAUGAGUGUGACAGACCACUGCGUUUCCCCAUCAGGUGAGCAGCACGGAUGGGCCGAGCCUCGUUAGCACAGGGCUUUCACAAGUGGGUUCUGAGACAUUUAAACUGUAUCCAGGAAAAGAUGGGUCCUAAAUGCACCGCAGGUGUCACUGCCGAAUGUGUCCUUGGGGGUAAUCCGGAUGUGCUGAGGAGCACGGAGGCGCAGCGCUGACACAGCACGGUGGGGGUGGGCUGGAGGUCCCAACCUGAAUGAGUGGAUGGCUGAGCGAUGGGAAUGCUGCCGGGUUGUGGCAGCCUCGGCAAUGGGGAGAAGGUGUGGGGGACGGGGGGUGAUCCGGGUCUGGGAGUUUCUUUUAGCAGCAGAGAUUGGCUCACGUUCAGUUCAUGUUUUAUCUCGGAUAGGAAUUGAUUUUUUUUUAAUAGGUCGAGAGUUCAGGAAAGCUAAAAUAAUAAUAAUAAUAAUAAUAAUAAUAUAAACCAGGAUCUGUCUUUUUCUGCUCCCUGAAUACAUAGGGCUGCUUUCCGGCACACAUUUCAUUUUCAGGUGAGUUCCUUUGUUGCCAUAGCAAUAUUACUCGUGUUUGGAAAGCCGCAGCUUUGGUUUUCUCCCAGGCCAUGCUGUCACACGCAGGCAGCACCCCGAGCCCAGCACAGAGCCGCACUGAGCUGCGCCGCAGCACGGAGGCAGAGGGGAGGGCCAUGGGGGAGCGCAGGGCUCCCACCCAAAGAUGCUCCUCUCUUCUCACCCUUCCACCCACACCUCACAGCGCGGCUUUGCAGUCAGGUCAAAGGAAACCCGGUGGCUUUGCUAAUUAGCACUUAUUAACGACGCUUCUCUGGCUGUGCCCGCAGCUCUCCCUCCAGGCACUGGCGCACGUGCAGCAACAAAACCCGUGUGCGCCCCAGAGAGCUCAGAAUCCCGUAAAUCCCAUUUGCUGCCACACAGGUGUCUCAUUUCCUCGCUCCGCAGAUCCCGGGCCCAGUGAAUUUAUUUUAUUACUCUGCUGAAGUAAAGGCUUUAAAUACUGCGGGACGUGCAUGACGGGGGUCUGUAACAGCAUUAAGAAAGGCACGAGGAAAAGGGAUUCCCCCGUGGGAUCGCUGGGCUGACAUUGACGGGAUGAGCUUCAACAUGACCAAGCGCCGGGUCCUGCAGUUAGGCCGAGCAGCUGGAAGGCUGUGUGGGAGAAAUGGACCUGGAGGUGCCGGUCAGAGCUCAGCUGAACAUCAGUCAGCAGUGUGUCCAGGUGGCCAAGAAGGCCAAUGGCAUCCUGGCUUGUAUCAGAAAUGGUGCAGCCAGCAGGAGCAGGGAAGUAAUCAUCCCGUUGUGCUCAGGACUGCUGAGGUGGCACCUUGAGUGCUGUGUUCAGUUUUGGGUCCCUCACUACAAGAAAGACAUCGACGCGCUGGAGUGUGUCCAGAGAAGGGCAGUGGAACUGUGAACGGUGUGGAGCACAGAUCUUAUGGGAACUGAAGGAACUGGGAUUGUUCUGUGUGGAGGAGGCUCAGGGGAGACCUUACUGAUCACUACAGCUGCCUGACAGGAGGUUGUGGAGGGUGCAGGUUGGCCCCUUCUCCCCAGUAGCAGUGACAGCACAAUAGGUACCAGCCUUAAGUUGCACCAGGGGAGGUUCAGGUGGGAAAUUAGGACAAAUUUCUUCACCAAAAGAGUGGUGAGGCACUGCAAUGGGCUGCCCAGGGGUGGGGUGGAGUCACCAUCCCUGGAGGUGUUCAAGAACCAUUUAGAUGUUGUACUCAGGGACAUGGUUUAGUGGGGAAAUACGUGGUCAGUGGACAGUUGGACUAGAUGAUCUUGGAGGUCUUUUCCAACCUUGGUGAUUCUAUGAUUCACGCCAUUAAGUUAUUAAAAUACUUAAUGUUAAAUUCAAUUUUUUUCUGUACUUCUUUUAAUUAAAGCAGGCACAGAGGGCCACGCAUUAACCUAAAAC